UGCCUAAUAAUGCAAGUCGAGCGGAACCGACGAGGAGCUUGCUCCCUUAGAUCAGCGCCGGACAGGUGUGUGUCACGUGUGGUAACCUGUCCUGUAAGACUGUGGAUAACUCCUCGGAGACCGGGGCUCAUACCGCGAUGCUUGAUUGAACCGCAUGUGUUCAAUCAUAUGAAGCAGCUUCUUCUGCUGUCUUACAGAUGGACCCUCCGCCCAAUAACUAGUUGGUGAGGGAAAGGCUCUCCAAGGCCACCAUGCCUAGCCCAACUGAAAAGGUGAUCCGCCACCCUGGGACUGAAACCCCGCCCAGACUCCUACCGGAGGCAGCCGUAAGGAAUCCUCCGCAAUGGACCAAAGUCUGACCGAACCACCCCCCCUGAGUGAAGAAGGGUUUCCGAUCCUAAAGCUCUGUUGUUAGGGAAGAACCAGUACCGUUCGAAUCUGGCGGUACCUUGACGGUACCUAACCAGAAAGCCACGGCUAACUACGUGCCAGCAGCCGCGGUAAUACGUAGGUGGGCAAGGCGUUGGUCCGGAAUUAUUGGGGCGUAAAGCGCGCGCAGGCGGUUUCUUAAGUCUGAUGUGAAAGCCCCCGGCUCAACCGGGGAGGGUCAUUGGAAACUGGAGAACUUGAGUGCAGAAGAGGAAAGUGGAAUUCCACGUGUAGCGGUGAAAUGCGUAGAGAUGUGGAGGAACACCAGUGGCGAAGGCGACUCUCUGGUCUGUAACUGACGCUGAUGCGCGAAAGCGUGGGGGAGCGAACAGGAUUAGAUACCCUGGUAGUCCACGCCGUAAAACGAUGAGUGCUAAGUGUUAGAGGGUUUCCGCCCCUUUAGUGCUGCAGCAAAACGCAUUAAGCACUCCGCCUGGGGGAGUACGGUCGCAAGGACUGAAAACUCAAAAGGAAUUGACGGGGGGCCCCGCACAAAGCCGGUGGAGCCAUGUGGUUUUAAUUUCGAAGCAACGCGAAGAAACCUUUACCCAGGUCUGGACAUCCUUCUGAACACCCCCUAGAGAAUAGGGGCUUUCCCCUUUCGGGGG
rnacentral:rRNA from 1 species